rnacentral:rRNA from 1 species
CAGCCCCUCGAGUGGUGGGGAUGAUUAUUUGGCCUAAAGCGUCCGUAGCCGGCCGGGUAAGUUUCCCGUUAAAUCCAGCGUCUCAAGCGUUGGACUGCGGGAGAUACUGUACGGCUAGAGAGUGGGAGAGGUCAGCGGUAUUCUGGGGGUAGGGGCGAAAUCCUUUGAUCCCCGGAGGACCACCAGUGGCGAAGGCUGCUGACUAGAACACGUCUGACGGUCAGGGACGAAAGCUGGGGUAGCGAACCGGAUUAGAGACCCGAGUAGUCC